UACAUCUUUAUUUUGACAGAAAGACAGCCGGGAGCUUUCUAAAGCAUUCAGUCGCUGAGACUUCCGCUCAGGGCUCCUCGUAUUUUUGUUUUUGACUCUCAGAGCCUUUUUUGAUUGGCUGAAAGAUAUAAUAGCUUUGAUAAGGGUAUGUUUGUAGCAGAAAUCGUAGACAAAAACAAAGCCGUCCUUAAAUAUGGUUAAUGGCCCCAGAGUGUUGGGAUGAAAGAAAAUAAUAAGUUUUGAAUACAACACAAGUCUUGGGUCUUAUCCUGGGGGAUUUAAUUAGAAUCCUUUUUGUCGUUAAUCGUAAUCUUCUUUUACAGGAAUAUUAUCCACUAGUAGAGUAUCAGAGGCAUCAUUAAGGAGAUGGUAAUUGUUUUCUUUGCAGUGUAAUUGUUUACAUCGUAAAAAGGGGCUAAAGAAUCUUUAAAAUGAGCAUUUUAAUGGCCUUUCUGCUAAUAUAUUUAUCCGUGGAAAAUAAAGGACCAAUCGACCAAUUGAUAUCGCGGGGGCGAGGCUAGAUUGAUCCCCGAAUAAAAGCCGAAAUUGAAAUAUACCUCAAAUAUAAGAUCGUAGUUGGAUCUUUAUUUCUCUAAUUGCAAAGGAAGAUGGGAGGAAAGUUCGGUGGUGUGAUUUCAAGAUGUUGUGGUCAGACCUGUUUCCAUGACAGAUUUUAAGGGAUCAUAUCUUCCGGAAGAAUUCAUUGUGUUGUAAAGUUUUGUUCAGGUAAGACAGAGGCCCUCGGAUGAUUAACUUGAACAUAUAUAUAUAUAUAUAUAUAUAUAUAUAUAUAUAUAUAUA